GGGAAGUGACGCUUCUCGUAACCUCGUUUAGCAGAAGCGAAGUUCUUAACCACCACCGCUCCCCUUCCCGCCGCCGCGGAGCCCGGGGCCGGCGGUCUAGGGUUCCGAACGCCGGGGGGAUGGCUGCGCCGCCGGGGCGGGUGCUCGUCGACCUCGACGGCGACGUGCUGGCCAACUGCGCCCGGUUCCUCGGCGCCCGCGACGUGGCCAGCCUCGCCAUGGCCUGCCGCCCCCUCCGCGCCGCCGCCUACUGCGACGCCGUCUGGUACCGCCUCUUCAGGGAGCGAUGGCCAUUUCAACACUUACCUCGUGGAGCUUUGGGACUUAGAGAGCUAUAUAUUCACAGGCACACUGAAGUACAUCAGAUGAAAUUUGCUGAUCCCAUUUCAGCUAUUUAUUAUCCAAAUCCCGCAGUAGUGACACCAAGCCAUCUAAUGCUGGAUAGGAACUACAUAUGGUUAUCUCAAGGUCCAAUGGCCAGAAGAUUGAGGGUUGAUUGUCCAGAAAUUGAAUUAGUGGAAACCUACAGGUCUCAUAGUGCAAGGAUAACUUGUAUGAGGUUAUUUCCACUGAUUGACACUCCGUUGUUUCGAGGUGAUUCUCAAACAAAUGAAAAGGCAUUAGUCACUUCAAGUGCAGAUCGAACGGUCCGUGUUUGUUGGAAGGGCCAUUCACGCUGUUUUAAGGGCCAUUCAGGGCCUGUGACUGCUCUGUCUGACAAAUUGCUUGGUGAUGGUGAAUUUAAAAUACUUGCAAGUGGAGGGGAAGACUGCACCGUUCGCCUCUGGUCUAUGAGUUUAAGAGGCAAAAAUCACCCUCUAAUAUCAACGUUUCAUGGCCAUGAAAAAACACUGUCUCUUCUAUCUGUUGCUUGGCAUAAACCCUCCCUGCUGGUAAGCUGCUCCAAAGAUUCGAAGGUUAAAGUUUGGGACACGAAGGCACCACCUUCCUCUGGUUCAUCAUCAUGUGUUGGGAGUACUCACCUAGGCACAAACGGUGCACCAAUUGCUGUGAAGUGCCAUGAUUCCCUUUGUUACAUUGCUGCUGGAUCUGAAGUGACAGCAAUUGACUUGAGAACAAUGAAGAAGGCUUCUGUUCUUGCUCUUCGUGACCAUCGAAUACUUUCUUGUGAAAUGCUGCCUUCAGAAUGGUUAAUCUGUACUGGCAUAAAAGACAAGGCCCUUCUGUGGGACAUCCGCAUGUUGCAAGAACCCCCCAAUACGGUGGCAGAACUGCAUUCAGAUGACCGCGUAACAUUUCUUCACUUGGAUCCAUACAAGGUAAUAACAGGAGCACCAUCUGAUGGUCAGGUCCAUGUCUGGGAAACACGGACGGGCCACUUGGUGAACACAUUGAGCUGUGGUGAACCUGCUAAAUCGGUAGGCAUAAGCACACUGUCAGCCAUGGCUGUGGACGGGUGUAGGAUUGCCAUGGUGGGGAGCUCCCUGGAACUCGACAUGGUUCACUACCGAGACUUUCUGAUGUCCUCUAUCCCUAUAUCUUUACCUGGCAACAGCAAGGAGGUUUCCAAGUUCUGGGGGGCCCAACAGUACAGCGACGACGAGGAUGACAACGACGACGAUGAUAACGAGGAACAAGACUAUGAACAUGUUUGGCUCGUAGAAUAAGUUGGCACGGUUUGUUAGACAAAUAUUUGGUUGAUCGCCACAGCUGCGACAAAGUCAUGCCCUUUUUCACCGAGGCGUCCCAUGGAGUGAUACUGUGACGUUGCCAUACCCGUCCAAGUCCAACAAGCUCUCCAGUUUGGCAAUCAAAAGCUAUGAUUUGUAAAGAAGAAGAAAAGGGAUAGGAUCUCAUCCGAGGAAGAUAUUUCCAAGCAAGCUCUGCGUACCAGGUUAGCAUCUUUUGCCAAGUGGAGCUGCUCAUGCUGGCAUCACGCAGGACAGGAAAACUGCAUUGUGUAAGACGGUGUGCACAAGGGAGACCUGGGCGUCGCAUUACCGUGGGCGCCGUAGGUGUUAACUAUCCAUACCGCUGUGUGUUGCUCUGUCAGUGCUUUGGACUUCGCAAUCCUGGAGGAUAAUGCCACAUAUGGGUCCCCUUUAUUUAUGGCUUUUAUUUAUAUGUGCAAUUCUAUUUGAUCUGUACUUAGUUUCGCAAUUAUGUUUACAGCUGAUGUGCACACAGAUUUGUAGUGUCCAGCUCGUUUGUAGUACUAAUUGCAAUGUAGUAAAGGAUGUCUGGCUUGGGGCUAUAUGACAAAUAAAAAGUUUGACAAGUUAUACCACAGUCCUGUGUACGAUUCAAAUGUUGAAAGUAGAUCAACAAAUAUUUCUUCAAAUAUCACCAUCAUCACAAGAACAGGAUGGAGCAUGGUUCUAUCCAGAAGGAAUCUCUGAAGAAACAAAACAAGUGCAUAUCAGUCUGGUCAUCUCUGUUUGCAGCAAAUUUUUCAGACUGGUUCUUGCAUUGCACUGCAUCAUUGCACAUGACAAAUUAGGCAUGCAACCAAGGAGCAGAAAUAACAGUGCUCCUCCUGCAAAAAGCUUCCUCAAAGCUGUUUGCUUCAGCCCACAGGAAUGCUGAUGUGAUGGUCCCUGGUUUCUGGUCUCUUCUCUUUCUGCCUUGCACUUAAGCUAACUAGUUUAAGUAUAAACAUGGAGAUUUUCCUUUUCAAAAGCACCAGUCUCCUUGCUUGUGUGCAGACUGGUAAACAGCAAUUACAAAAAUGUGGACAGCUAAAGCAACUUUUUUGUUGGAAGGCUCACUUUUUUCUGCCGCUAAUUUCGAUGUGAUGGAAGGCCAUUUUUCCUCAUUAAAAAACAUACAAGAAGUGGCUUAUAUUAUAUAUUAUUAUCAGGGUGUAAUCGUCAUCACAAUGAGUGCUUACAUGUGCUUAAUAGGAACGGACUGAAUUACUUAGAUUAUCCAAUUUUUUAUGGUAAUUUUCAAUGUCGGGAUGACGCACAACAUGUAGAAGGAAACUCAUAAACAUG